AUUGAACGCUGGCGGCAGGCUUAACACAUGCAAGUCGAGCGGAGCGGCGGACGGGUGAGUAAUGUCUGGGAAACUGCCUGAUGGAGGGGGAUAACUACUGGAAACGGUAGCUAAUACCGCAUACUAUCAGAUGAGCCUAGGUCGGAUUAGCUAGUUGGUGGGGUAAAGGCCUACCAAGGCGACGAUCCGUAACUGGUCUGAGAGGAUGAUCAGUCACAUUGGAAAUGAGACACGGUCCAGACUCCUACGGGAGGCAGCAGUGGGGAAUAUUGGACAAUGGGCGAAAGCCUGAUCCAGCCAGGCCGCGUGUGUGAAGAAGGCCUUCGGAUUGUAAAGUACUUUAAGUUGGGAGGCGUUACCAGCAGAAUAAGCACCGGCUAACUUCGUGCCAGCCGCCGCGGUAAUAC
rnacentral:rRNA from 1 species